UAUGUGAUCGUCUCUCGCAUAUCAAUAAGCGGAGGAAAAGAAACUAACAAGGAUUCCCCUAGUAACGGCGAGUGAAGCGGGAAGAGCUCAAAUUUGAAAUCUUAAAGGGUUUCCCUUUACGAAUUGUAGUUUAAAGAAGUGUUUUCUGUUGAGGUUUUGGUAAAAGUUCUUUGGAAUAGGACAUCAUAGAGGGUGAGAAUCCCGUAUUUGACCUUUACUUUCAACUUUGUGAUACACUUUCAAAGAGUCGGAUUGUUUGGGAAUGCAGUCCAAAAUGGGUGGUAAAUUUCAUCUAAAGCUAAAUAUUGGCGAGAGACCGAUAGCGAACAAGUACCGUGAGGGAAAGAUGAAAAGAACUUUGAAAAGAGAGUUAAACAGUACGUGAAAUUGUCAAAAGGGAAGCGUUUGACACCAGUGUUGUUUUUCUGAAAAUCGAUUAAAGAACUGUUUAUGCUAAGCUGUUUAGACUUUAUCAGCUAUCUGUUUAGUUUUGAGCUUUUCUUUAAUGCACUUUUCAGUUAACAAGUCAACAUCAAUUUCUUUUGCUGUAAAAAAGCUUGAGGAAGGUGGCUUGAGAUUCGUCUUAAGUGUUUAUAGCCUCUUGCCUAUGCAGUCGGAGAGAUUGAGGUCUGCAGCGUAGAUCCUUCGGGGCUAAAUGCAUUUGUGCUAAGUUAUAACAUUUUAUAGACAACUUGUUGACUAUGAUUUGUCUUGUAGCUUACUCGCUUAUGUUAUUUUACCUACGCUUAGGAUGUUGAAGUCAUCGUAUCGCGC
rnacentral:rRNA from 1 species